CUCCUCAGUAUUUUGUAAUUGAGACCAGGAGGAGGCCAAGGGGAGAAAACAAAGAAACCACGAGAAAGCGGCUGCCUGGACUGUGGCCUUAAAAGGAAUAGACUCUAAGUCUGAUUCUCGGGGCUCCAAGAGGAGCUGGACAGCUAACCUCACCUGCUGCCACUGCAGAAAGCCAGCCCAUCUCAGCAGGGGCUGUGGUAAGAACUGGCACAUGAAGAGACGCCCUAGACCAUGCCUUGAUUGCAAAGAUGACCACUGAAAGUCGUCACGGCAGGGGCACUGGAGUUCAGACCCAUCUUACCAGCUGGUCCAGCAAGACUGAAGGGCCCAGGGCACUCUCUACCUCCUCCCUCCAGCUGGACUGUCAUCUUCAUGAAGGAGCCCUGGGUAGUCAUGAUGACCUGGCCUUCUCUCCAGCCACUAUACUUCAGUGGAAAGAGUCACUGGAGAGGAGAUUUCCAGUUGCCUUUUGCCUUUGAAAAUCCUCAUGACCAGGCCUCUCCACUCACUUGGACUGUGCUUCCUCAAGGGUUCAGAGACAGCCCUCAUCUUUUUGGAAAAUGCUUUCCCAUUACUUGGAACCUAUGGCUCUCGGACAAUGGACUUCUUAAAUACCAGACUCUACUUCUAGAAGGCCCAGCCAUUCAAAUAAGGACAUGUUCCUCCUGAAACUCUGCCAUCUUUCCACCAGGAAAAGGCAAUCAAGGCUGAAAGACUGGGCUGUGAGCAGGUAACUCUCCCUCAGGAAGCAGCCAGAGAGGCUCACCAUUUGGCCGCGCACACUUAACUGUCGCUUUAGCCGUUGCUCUUCCGUACUUGGAGCUGUAUGCCUACCCACGAGGAGAAUGCCUGCCGUCUAUCGAGGGGCUUUGGACAGCCUCUCUGUGGAGUAUCGCUGGCUGCCAGUCACAGCCAUGGCCCGCCUCAGCCAGAAGCAGUAAGAACAGUCACCACCCCUUGCCUCCUCAUGGCAGUUAGGGUUACCUCUUCAGAAAGGGAAAUAUUACACACAGCUAAGUUAGGUAGAAAUAUUCCAGGCAGGCAGACAGGGCUGGGCCCUCGGGGGAGUCAGGGCAGAAGAUGAAAACACAGCACAACUGUGGCUGGAGGUACGUCACUGAAUCCCAGGCCUCAAGAUAAGGACAUCCCCAAGGGAUAAACAGUACAUUGAAGAUUAUACUAUAAUUGGCAUCACCGGGUCCAAUAAAGUCUGGAUGGAUGUCAGUCACCCCGGCGGGUGAGCAGGCCCUCCUGGCCCACCCCUUCCUAAGGUGCUUGUUCUUUGCAUGCACACUUGCUCCGUGACCUGCCUCCCCACAGAUCAACAUUACCUCAGUGGCUGUAUUAGAACCUUACUGGUUCAUCAUAGCUCUGACCCACACUGUGCCCAUUUCGUGACUUUGUGCCCACCUCGUGAUUCUGCUCUGUAAAACUUCCUCUGAGAAGUGGGCUCGUGGGCAGCACACUCGGGUCCCCUCCUGUCUCCCAGGAGCUGUCUCUCUCUCUCUUUCUCUCUCCCCCACCCCCAAUAAAUUGUUCCU